rnacentral:rRNA from 1 species
AUGGACUUAGGGUUUUCGGGCCCGAAGUUCACCUGGUGCAAUCGACAGGACCCAAACAGCCAUGUUAGAUGCCGACUUGACCGUGCCAUGGCCAACAAUGAUUUCUCCAAUCUGUUUGCUGCAUGUGAUGUUGAGAAUGUCAUCGCCACAUCUUUUGACCACAAACCAAUUCAUGUCUGCCUGGACCGCGGCUCUCGGCAACGUUGUGUGUCUCCGGUUCAGCAAGGUUUCAGAUUCGAGGCGAUGUGGCUGAGAGCCACGGACUACAAAGACAAUCUUGAGCAUGCUUGGUCGGCUGGUAGAGAUGGGCUCCUGCCGCUUCAGUCAACCUAGAAUAAUUUGAAGAAUGUGGCCAACUCCCUGCGGUCUUGGAGCAAAGAGGCUUUUGGUUCUGUUCGCAAGAAGAUCGGGUAGCUGGAGCGUCGCCUGGCCACUAUCAAGGCCUCCCCGCCCUCCCCGCCUUCUCUGGCGGAAGAGCGUCAGAUCAAGUGUUCGCUUUGUGAGCUCUUCGAACGGGAGGAAAUCAUGGAGAGACAACACUCCCGGGUGGAUUGGCUCAAGGAGGGGGAUCGUAACACCGGGUUUUUCCAAGCUCGGGCGGCUGCCAGGAGGAGAACCAACCGAAUUCACUCGCUCAGUCGGCACGAUGGCUCGGUUUGCUCCACUCAGGGUGAGAUCAAAGGUAUGGUGUAGACCUUCUAUGACAAGUUGUUCACUUCGGAUCCUUGUCCUGACGCCGAGGAGGUCCUGCAUGCGAUUCCACCCAAGGUUACUCCUGAGAUGAACGAGGAGCUCUGCAAACCCUAUUCCAUGGAGGAAAUCCGGGCUGCUCUCUUCCAAAUGGGGCCUACCAAGGCCCCGGGACCUAAUGGCUUCCCGACCUUGUUCUAUCAGACCCACUGGGAAUUCCUGGGAAAUGAUAUCUACCAUGUCGUUCGAGGCUUUCUGGAGGGGAGACCAAUUCCUGAAGGGUUUUGUGACUCGGUGAUUGUGCUUAUCCCAAAGACUACUCGACCGAAGCAGCUGAAGAAUUUCUGUCCAAUCAGCCUCUCCAAUGUGAUAUAUAAGAUAGCUUCCAACGUCUUGGCAAAUCGCCUAAAAUCGAUCCUGCAUGUGGUUGUGUCUGAGAGUCAGAGUGCCUUUGUUCCCAGCAGGUUGAUUACUGACAAUACUCUGAUCGCUUAUGAGUGUCUGCACACGAUCCGAAGGAAACGGGUGAAGAAACCUUUCUUUGCUCUAAAGAUUGACAUGAUGAAGGGCUACGAUCGUGUGGAGUGA